AGCGGUAACAGGAAAGACAUGAACCUCCUGUACGCAGAUUCAAUUUAGUUUGUAGAUAAUAUGUUACAUACAAUGAUAUAGAAGCUACGAUUUUUCGUUAGAGUAAUAUUAAACGUUCUUAAAAAGUCCCUUUUGCAGAUAUCAAGGCGAUCAGAAAAUCGCAAAAAAAAUCAUUUGAAAUGUGUUUUUCUGACACUGUACGCAGACAAAUACCCCCAAAAUGGUCUUAAAUGCAGUUUAAUCUUAUCAAAAUAGAUGUAAGGUGUGUUUAUUAUUAAUGUUCUGAAUCACAAAUCCGACAAGCUUUCAUUUAAACCAUUACAACUGAAAUUUCCAUUAGAAAUAAAAAAGUUAGCAUGGGUGUACUGAAAAUUCGACAUUUUUUGAAAACGACCCAUAUAUCA
rnacentral:lncRNA from 1 species